rnacentral:rRNA from 1 species
UCGGCUUAGAGUUUGAUCAUGGCUCAGAUUGAACGCUGGCGGCAGGCCUAACACAUGCAAGUCGAACGGUAAAGCAGCUUGCUAUUUACGAGUGGCGGACGGGUGAGUAAUGUCUGGGAAACUGCCUGAUGGAGGGGGAUAACUACUGGAAACGGUAGCUAAUACCGCAUAACGUCGCAAGACCAAAGAGGUUCGUCUUGCCAUCGGAUGUGCCCAGAUGGGAUUAGCUAGUAGGUGGGGUAACGGCUCACCUAGGCGACGAUCCCUAGCUGGUCUGAGAGGAUGACCAGCCACACUGGAACUGAGACACGGUCCAGACUCCUACGGGAGGCAGCAGUGGGGAAUAUUGCACAAUGGGCGCAAGCCUGAUGCAGCCAUGCCGCGUGUAUGAAGAAGGCCUUCGGGUUGUAAAGUACUUUCAGCGGGGAGGAAGGGAGUAAAGUAAUCUUUGCUCUUGACGUUACCCGCAGAAGAAGCACCGGCUAACUCCGUGCCAGCAGCCGCGGUAAUACGGAGGGUGCAAGCGUUAAUCGGAAUUACUGGGCGUAAAGCGCACGCAGGCGGUUUGUUAAGUCAGAUGUGAAAUCCCCGGGCUCAACCUGGGAACUGCAUCUGAUACUGGCAAGCUUGAGUCUCGUAGAGGGGGGUAGAAUUUCCAGUGUAGCGGUGAAAUGCGUAGAGAUCUGGAGGAUACCGGUG